rnacentral:rRNA from 1 species
UUCGCCCUUAGAGUUUGAUCCUGGCUCAGGAUGAACGCUGGCGGCGUGCUUAACACAUGCAAGUCGAACGAAGCACUUUACCUUGAUUCCUUCGGGUUGAUUGGUACUGUGACUGAGUGGCGGACGGGUGAGUAACGCGUGGGUAACCUGCCCCAUACAGGGGGAUAACAGAUAGAAAUGUCUGCUAAUACCGCAUAAGACCACAGCGCCGCAUGGCGCAGGGGUAAAAACUCCGGUGGUAUGGGAUGGAUCCGCGUCUGAUUAGCUAGUUGGUGGGGUAAAGGCCCACCAAGGCGACGAUCAGUAGCCGACCUGAGAGGGUGACCGGCCACAUUGGGACUGAGACACGGCCCAAACUCCUACGGGAGGCAGCAGUGGGGAAUAUUGCACAAUGGGGGAAACCCUGAUGCAGCGACGCCGCGUGAAGGAUGAAGUAUUUCGGUAUGUAAACUUCUACCAGCAGGGAAGAAAAUGACGGUACCUGACUAAGAAGCCCCGGCUAACUACGUGCCAGCAGCCGCGGUAAUACGUAGGGGGCAAGCGUUAUCCGGAUUUACUGGGUGUAAAGGGAGCGUAGACGGCAUGGCAAGUCUGAUGUGAAAACCCGGGGCUCAACCCCGGGACUGCAUUGGAAACUGUCAGGCUAGAGUGUCGGAGAGGCAAGUGGAAUUCCUAGUGUAGCGGUGAAAUGCGUAGAUAUUGGGAGGAACACCAGUGGCGAAGGCGGUCUGCUGGACAGCAACUGACGGUGAGGCGCGAAAGCGUGGGGAGCAAACAGGAUUAGAUACCCUGGUAGUCCACGCUGUAAACGAUGGAUACUAGGUGUGCGGGGACUGACCCCCUGCGUGCCGCAGCUAACGCAAUAAGUAUCCCACCUGGGGAGUACGAUCGCAAGGUUGAAACUCAAAGGAAUUGACGGGGGCCCGCACAAGCGGUGGAUUAUGUGGUUUAAUUCGAUGCAACGCGAAGAACCUUACCAGGGCUUGACAUCCUACUAACGAAGUAGAGAUACAUUAGGUACCCUUCGGGGGAAGUAGAGACAGGUGGUGCAUGGUUGUCGUCAGCUCGUGUCGUGAGAUGUUGGGUUAAGUCCCGCAACGAGCGCAACCCUUAUUGUUAGUUGCUACGCAAGAGCACUCUAGCGAGACUGCCGUUGACAAAACGGUGGAAGGUGGGGACGACGUCAAAUCAUCAUGCCCCUUAUGUCCUGGGCUACACACGUAAUACAAUGGCGGUCAACAGAGGGAUGCAAAGCUGUGAAGUGGAGCGAACCCCUAAAAGCCGUCCCAGUUCAGAUUGCAGUCUGCAACUCGACUGCAUGAAGCUGGAAUCGCUAGUAAUCGCGAAUCAGAAUGUCGCGGUGAAUACGUUCCCGGGUCUUGCACACACCGCCCGUCA